UACGUAGGGUGCGAGCGUUAAUCGGAAUUACUGGGCGUAAAGUGUGCGCAGGCGGCCGAGCAAGUCGAGUGUGAAAGCCCCGGGCUUAACUUGGGAAUUGCGCUCGAAACUACUUGGCUGGAGUGUGGCAGAGGAGGGUGGAAUUCCACGUGUAGCGGUGAAAUGCGUAGAGAUGUGGAGGAACACCAAUGGCGAAGGCAGCCCUCUGGGCCAACACUGACGCUCAUGCACGAAAGCGUGGGGAGCGAUCCGG
rnacentral:rRNA from 1 species